UACAGAGGUCCCAAGCGUUGUUCGGAUUUACUGGGCGUAAAGGGCGCGUAGGCGGCAAUUCAAGUCAGCUGUGAAAUCUCCGGGCUUAACUCGGAACGGUCAGCUGAUACUGCUUUGCUAGAGUGCAGAAGGGGCAAUCGGAAUUCUUGGUGUAGCGGUGAAAUGCGUAGAUAUCAAGAGGAACACCUGAGGUGAAGACGGGUUGCUGGGCUGACACUGACGCUGAGGCGCGAAAGCUAGGGUAGCAAACGGG
rnacentral:rRNA from 1 species